rnacentral:rRNA from 1 species
GUCUUCUUGUUAUAUUUAGGAAGUCUGGCCUGCCCAGUGAAAAUAAUUUAACGGCCGCGGUAUACUGACCGUGCAAAGGUAGCAUAAUCAUUAGUCUUUUAAUAGAGGGCUGGUAUGAAGGGUUUAACGAGGUGUUGACUGUCUCAUUUAAUUUGAAUUUAGAAUUUAAUUUUUUAGUUAAAAAGCUGAAAUAUUAUUGGAAGACGAGAAGACCCUAUAGAGCUUUAUAUUUUUAUUAAUAAUUUAUUAUAGAUUAUUAUUAUUUAUUAUUAUUAUAAAAUAUUUUGUUGGGGUGACAAAAAUAUAUAAUUAACUUUUUUAUUUAUUUUACAUUGAUAUAUGAAUAUUAGAUCCAAUCUUAUUGAUUGUUAGAUUAAGUUACCUUAGGGAUAACAGCGUAAUCCCUCUCCAGAGUUCAUAUUUACAGAGGGGCUUGCGACCUCGAUGUUGGAUUAAGAUAAUAAUUAGGUGCAGCCGCUUAAUUAAUAGGUCUGUUCGACCUUUAAAUUCUU